GGUUGUAUUGGAAAGCCUUUAAUAACCAUCGUGAGCUGCAUGGCGUUGAAAAUCCUCGUCUAUGAGCUCUUUGUUGAGUUGAAGUCUGCAGCAUAGUACAUCUCUGUUGUAAGGUGUAGGAAGCUCGCGCAGCAGCCAUGUUGGAAGCAUUCCUGAGCAGGCGUGUAGCGCGUUCGUUUUUCUUCUCUGCAGCUCGUAUUUCUUUUCUUUGAUCG